rnacentral:tRNA from 1 species
GCCCCUGGGUGCAAAGGGUUAAUGCACUUGGCUGCUAUCCAGAAUGCUGGUGGUUCGAGUCCACCCAGAGGUG